rnacentral:rRNA from 1 species
GCUUGUCUCAAAGAUUAAGCCAUGCAUGUCUAAGUAUAAACGACUUUAUACAGUGAAACUGCGAAUGGCUCAUUAAAUCAGUUAUAGUUUAUUUGAUAAUACCUUACUACUUGGAUAACCGUGGUAAUUCUAGAGCUAAUACAUGCUACACAACCCGACUUCUGGAAGGGUGGUACUGAUUAGAUACAAAACCAAUGCGGAGCAAUCCGGUUUGUGGUGAUUCAUAAUAACUUUGCGAAUCGCAUGGCCUUGUGCCGGCGAUGAAUCAAUCAAAUUUCUGCCCUAUCAACUUUCGAUGGUACGGUAUUGGCCUACCAUGGUUACAACGGGUAACGGGGAAUUAGGGUUCGGUUCCGGAGAGGGAGCCUGAGAAAUGGCUACCACAUCCAAGGAAGGCAGCAGG